rnacentral:tRNA from 1 species
GGAGGUGUGGCUUAAGGGUAGAGUGCUUGUCUAGCAUGCAUGCAGCCCCUGAGUUCAAUCCCCAGCACCACAA